rnacentral:rRNA from 1 species
GACGAACGCUGGCGGCGUGCUUAACACAUGCAAGUCGAACGGAAAGGCCCUGCUUUUGUGGGGUGCUCGAGUGGCGAACGGGUGUGUAACACGUGAGUAACCUGCCCUUGACUUUGGGAUAACUUCAGGAAACUGGGGCUAAUACCGGAUAGGAGCUCCUGCUGCAUGGGGGGGGUUGGAAAGUUUCGGCGGUUGGGGAUGGACUCGCGGCUUAUCAGCUUGUUGGUGGGGGAGUGGCUUACCAAGGCUUUGACGGGUAGCCGGCGUGAGAGGGUGACCGGCCACAUUGGGACUGAGAUACGGCCCAGACUCCUACGGGAGGCAGCAGUGGGGAAUAUUGCACAAUGGGGGGAAGCCUGAUGCAGCAAGGCCGCGUGCGGGAGGCCGGCCUUCGGUUUGUAAACCGCUUUCGCCUGUGACGAAGCGUUAGUGACGGUAAUUGGUAAAGAAGCACCGGCUAACUACGUG